GUAAUGUUUACACUGUAGUCUCUUAAGUGUGCAAGACUAUUGUCUAAAAAACAUGUAUGUACCUUAAUUUAAAAAUAUUUUAUUGCUAAAAAAUGCUAAUGGCAAUCUGAACCUUUAGCGAGUUACAUCUUUUUGUUGGUAGAGGGUCUUGCUUCCAUGUUGAUGGCUGCUGACUAAUCAGGGUAGUGGUUGCUGAAGGUUAGGGUGGCUGUAGCAAUUUCUUAAAGUAAGACAACAGUGAAGUUUGCUGCAUCUGUUGACUCUUCCUUUUACAAAAGAUUUCUCUGUAACAUGAAAUGCUGUUUGAUGACAUUUUACCCACAAUAGAAAUUCUUUCAAAACAAGAGUCAAUUCUCUCAAGCCCUGGUGCUGCUUUAUCAGCUAAGUUUAGGUCAUAGUCUGAAUCAUUUGUUGUCAUUUCAACAAUAUUCACAACCUCUUCACCAGGAAUAGAUUCCAUUUGAGGAAACCACUUUCCUUGCUCAUCCGUAAGAAGCAAUUCCUUAUUUGUUCAAGGUCAUGAAGUUGCAGCAAUUCAGCCACAUCUUCAGUUUCUACUUCUAGUUCUCUUGCUGUUUCCACUGCAUCUGUAGUUACUUCCUCUACUGAAGUCUUAAACCUCUCAAAGUCAUCCGUGAGGGUUAGAAUCAACUUAAGUCUUGUUAAUGUUGAUAUUUCGACCUCCUCCCAUGAACCACAAAUGUUCUUUAUGGCAUUUAAAAUGGUGAAUCCCAGCCAGGCACAGUGGCUCAAACCUGUAAUCCCAGCACUUUGGGAGGCUGAGGUAGGUGGAUCACGUGAGGUCAGGAGUUUGAGACCAGCCUGACCAACAUGGCAAAAACCCAUCUCUACUAAAAAUACAAAAAUUAGCCAGGUGUGGUGGUGCAUGUUUGUAAUCCCACCUACUUGGGAGGCUGAAGCAGGAGAAUUGCUUGAACCCAGGAGGCAGAGGUUGCAGUGAGCCAAGAUCACACCACUACACUCUAGCCUGCGCUACAGAGCAAGACUCCAUCUCAAAAAGAAAAGAAGAGAAGAGAAAAGAAAAGAAAGGAAGAAAUGAAAUGAAAUGGAAUGAUGAAAUGAAAUGAAAUGAAAUAAAUAAAUAAAUGAAAUGAAAUGAAAUGAAAUAAUGAAAUGAGAUGAAAUGAAGAAUCCUUCCCAGAUGGGGGGUUGGCUUUUUCUGGUUUUUGUAUUUUGUUUUGAAGACAGGGUCUCGCUCUCUUGCCUAGACCGGAAUGCACUGGUGCAGUCAUGGCUCACCGCAGCCUCAACCUCCUGUGCUUGAGUGAUGUUCCUGCCUUAUCCUCCCAAGUAUCUGGGACUACAGAUUGCAUACCACACCUGGCUAGUUUUUGUUUUGUUUCUGUAGAGGCAGGGUCUCACUAUGCUGCCCAGGCUAGUCUUGAACUCCUGGGCUUAAUCAGUCCUCCCACCUCAGCCUCCCAAAAAGUUGGGAUUGUAGGCAUGAGCCACCAUGCCUAACCCCAGGAGGUUUUAGAUGGACUUUGCCCAAAUCAUCAGAGAAAUCACUGUGGCAGCUAUAGCCUUAUGAAAUAUAUUUCUGAAAUAAUAAGACUUGAAAGUUGAAAUUACUCCUUGUUCCAUGGGCUGCAAAAUGGAUGUUGUGUUAGUGGGCAUGAAAAAAGCAACAUGGAUCUCCUUGUACAUCCUCACCAGAGCUCGUGGGUGACCAGGUGCCUUAUCACUGAGCAGUAAUAUUUUGAAAGGAAUCUUGUUUUCUGAGCAGUAGGUCUCACCCAUGUGCUUAAAAUAUUCAGGAAACCAUGCUGUGAACAGAUGUGAUAUCAUUAAGCUUUGUUGUUUCAUUUAUAGAGCAUAGGCAGAGUAGAUUUAGCAUAAUUCUUAAGAGCCUUAGGAUUUUUAAAAUGGUAAAUGAGUAUUGGCUUCAACAUAAAGUCACCAACUGCAUUAGCCCCUAACAAGGAGUCAGGCUGUCCUUUGACGCUUUGAAGCCAGGCAUUGACUUCUCCUCAAUAGCUGUGAAAGUCCUAGGUGGCAUUUUCCAAUAUAAGGCAGUUUAGUCCACACUGAAAAUUCAUUGUUUAGUGUAGCCACCUUCAUCAAUGAUCUUAGCUAGAUUUUCUUGAUAACUUGUUGCUUCUCUAUCAGUAUUUGCUGCUUCACCUUGUACUUUUAUGUUAUGGAGAGGGCUUCUUUUCUUAAACCUCAUGAACUAACUUCUAGCUUCAAACUUUUCUUCUGUGGCUUCCUUACUUUGCUCAGCCUUCAUAGAAUGGAAGACAGCUAGGAUGUUGAUCUGGAUUGGGCUUUGGCCGAAGGGAAUGUUGUGGCUGGUUUGAUCUUCUGUUCCGACUACUAAAACUGUCUCUAUAUCAGCAAUAAGACUGUUUAACUUUCUUACCCUUUGUGUGUUCACUGGAGUAGCGUUUUUAAUUUCUUUCAAGAAUUUUUCUUUUGCAUUCACAACUUGGCUGUUUGGCACAAGAGGCCUAGCUAUUGAUUGGCCUGUCUUGGCUUUCAACUA
rnacentral:lncRNA from 1 species